rnacentral:rRNA from 1 species
AGAGUAUGAUCCUGGCUCAGGACGAACGCUGGCGGCGUGCCUAAUACAUGCAAGUCGAACGAAGCUUUCUUUCACCGAAUGCUUGCAUUCACCGAAAGAAGCUUAGUGGCGAACGGGUGAGUAACACGUAGGCAACCUGCCCAAAAGAGGGGGAUAACACUUGGAAACAGGUGCUAAUACCGCAUAACCAUGAACACCGCAUGAUGUUCGUGUAAAAGACGGCUUUUGCUGUCACUUUUGGAUGGGCCUGCGGCGUAUUAACUUGUUGGUGGGGUAACGGCCUACCAAGGUGAUGAUACGUAGCCGAACUGAGAGGUUGAUCGGCCACAUUGGGACUGAGACACGGCCCAAACUCCUACGGGAGGCAGCAGUAGGGAAUCUUCCACAAUGGACGAAAGUCUGAUGGAGCAACGCCGCGUGAAUGAAGAAGGCCUUCGGGUCGUAAGAUUCUGUUGUCAGAGAAGAAUGUGCGUGAGAGUAACUGUUCACGUAUUGACGGUAUCUGACCAGAAAGCCACGGCUAACUACGUGCCAGCAGCCGCGGUAAUACGUAGGUGGCAAGCGUUGUCCGGAUUUAUUGGGCGUAAAGGGAACGCAGGCGGUCUUUUAAGUCUGAUGUGAAAGCCUUCGGCUUAACCGAAGUAGUGCAUUGGAAACUGGAAGACUUGAGUGCAGAAGAGGAGAGUGGAACUCCAUGUGUAGCGGUGAAAUGCGUAGAUAUAUGGAAGAACACCAGUGGCGAAAGCGGCUCUCUGGUCUGUAACUGACGCUGAGGUUCGAAAGCGUGGGUAGCAAACAGGAUUAGAUACCCUGGUAGUCCACGCCGUAAACGAUGAGUGCUAAGUGUUGGAGGGUUUCCGCCCUUCAGUGCUGCAGCUAACGCAUUAAGCACUCCGCCUGGGGAGUACGGUCGCAAGACUGAAACUCAAAGGAAUUGACGGGGGCCCGCACAAGCGGUGGAGCAUGUGGUUUAAUUCGAAGCAACGCGAAGAACCUUACCAGGUCUUGACAUCUUCUGACAAUUCCAGAGAUGGAACGUUCCCUUCGGGGACAGAAUGACAGGUGGUGCAUGGUUGUCGUCAGCUCGUGUCGUGAGAUGUUGGGUUAAGUCCCGCAACGAGCGCAACCCUUAUUGUCAGUUGCCAUCAUUAAGUUGGGCACUCUGGCGAGACUGCCGGUGACAAACCGGAGGAAGGUGGGGAUGACGUCAAAUCAUCAUGCCCCUUAUGACCUGGGCUACACACGUGCUACAAUGGACGGUACAACGAGUCGCUAACUCGCGAGGGCAAGCUAAUCUCUUAAAGCCGUUCUCAGUUCGGAUUGCAGGCUGCAACUCGCCUGCAUGAAGUCGGAAUCGCUAGUAAUCGCGAAUCAGCAUGUCGCGGUGAAUACGUUCCCGGGCCUUGUACACACCGCCCGUCACACCAUGAGAGUUUGUAACACCCAAAGUCGGUGGGGUAACCUUUUGGAGCCAGCCGCCUAAGGUGGGACAGAUGAUUGGGGUGAAGUCGUAACAAGGUA